rnacentral:rRNA from 1 species
GACGAACGCUGGCGGCGUGCUUAACACAUGCAAGUCGAACGGUAAGGCCCUUCGGGGUACACGAGUGGCGAACGGGUGAGUAACACGUGGGUGAUCUGCCCUGCACUUCGGGAUAAGCCUGGGAAACUGGGUCUAAUACCGGAUAGGACCCUGGGAUGCAUGUCCUGGGGUGGAAAGCUUUUGCGGUGUGGGAUGGGGCCGCGGCCUAUCAGCUUGUUGGUGGGGUGAUGGCCUACCAAGGCGACGACGGGUGGCCGGCCUGGGAGGGUGACCGGCCACACUGGUACUGAGAUACGGCGCAGACUCCUACGGGAGGCAGCAGUGGGGAAUAUUGCACAAUGGGCGCAAGCUUGAUGCAGCGACGCCGCGUGAGGGAUGACGGCCUUCGGGUUGUAAACCUCUUUCAGCACCGACGAAGCGCAAGUGACGGUAGGUGCAGAAGAAGGACCGGCCAACUACGUGCCAGCCGCCGCAGUAA